rnacentral:lncRNA from 1 species
CUGUGGCAGUGCGUCCCCUCUCCGCGGGAUCGUCGCCAUGGUCCUGCGAUCCUAGGAGUCGGGCAAGGCCGAACCUGCCUGAAGAAACCUCAAGCGGAGAUUCAAGGAAGCACCACGUGAUCCCUAAGGAUCCCAAAGAUGCGUCGGGCAUGCAUGGGCGGUGUGAGGGUGCGUCUCCCUGACAGGUGUCCCCGCUGGGAUUUCGAGCAAUGCUGAGAAGCCGAAGGCCCUGGUCUUGGAGACCAGGACAGGGCCCUGGGAGGCCCAGGUCGAAAGGGGGCCAGUCAGCUCAUGGGGCGAGGGAAUGUCCUGCUCACACCCUCCACUGGGGUCUCAGGAAUUAUCCGAUGAAAAGUAGAAGAGGUUGAAUGACUUUCAGUGGCCUUUUCUUCACAGAUUUUCCAUAUGCUGUUCCAUCUGCCAAGAAUGCUCUCAAAGUGGCCACCUCCUUUGCGUGUGAAAUGUCCUAGCUUAAAUGUCAGCUGCUCAGAAAGACUAUCCUGGAUCACUUUAAUUAGGUCCAUGCCAGGGCUCACCUGAAACUUCAUGUACCAUUGCACUUCCUGAGAAGCUGUCCCCAAUCCCAGGCUCCUAGCAAUGCUGUUCCAGUAAUCUCUCUUCUGUAAGACAGCCACUCCACCCACUGCAGUCUACAAGGAAAGCCUCCAUAGCUGUGAUUAUUCAGUAAGAACAGUCUCAGGAAAACAGGACCUUCAACAGAGAUAAGAGAAUUAAAAUAUGCAGACUAACAACUCUGGGAAUGGGCUGACCAGCCUGAUAAGAAUAGGCUGAUGGCACCUACAGAAGGCCACAAAACACUGACCAAGAAAGCAAUGACCAACAAAGCAAUGACCUGAGACUGCACAUUUCACAAGAAUGUUUUGAUCAUCAUUUUUUCUAAUUUCCCUUAAAAACCCCUGAUAUGGAGACAGAACUCGGCGGUCUUUGAACACUAGUUCACUGCCUCCCCUGGGUUGUUGGAUUCCUGAAUAGAGCUAACCAUCCUUUCACCAAUGCUCAUCUCUUAAACUUUCAAGUGACAAGUGGUCUGGACCUGAAUUUCGUUACAAAACCUAUGUAUACCUUACCUUACAUGGCAAAGGGGACUUUAGAAGUGCAAUUAAAUUAAGGAUCUUGAGAGGGGGUUAUCCUGGAUUAUCUGGUUGGGCCCAAUGUAUUUGUAAGUGAUAGAGGGAGGCAGGUGAGUAAAAAAAGGAAACGUGAUGAUGAAAGCACAAGUCAAAAUGUGAUUGCUGGCUUUGAAAAUGGAUGGAAGCCACACCCCAGGGAUCGUGGACAGCCUUUAGAACCAGAAAAGGACAAGGAAACAGAUUCUCCAGUCCUCUAGAACCUCCAGAAGGAACAUGGCUCUGCUAAUACUAUGAUAUUAGCCCUUUCAGACUGAUUUCAGACUUCUGACCAGCAGAGGUAUAAAUCAUAAUUAUAUUGAUUUAAGCCACUAAAUUAGUGGUUAUUAGUAACGGCAGCAACAGGAAACUAUAUCAGCAACAAGACUCCUUCCUUCAUAGAACCCAAUUCCCAACCAAUUUUCAAACUUUCACAGAAAAUCUUGCCACACACUGAGACUAGGAACAUCCAACAAAAAAAUGCUAUCACUUUCAAAUGGAAAACCCAGGAUUGUAGAGAAGAUCAAAUUUUGUCAUGUAUCACAUUUAAACACUCAUCUCUACCUCACCAAACCGUGGUACUAAUGUGUACCAAUCUUAAAAGGAGGUAUUUCUGUUCCCUCAGAGCUCUGGGCAGAAGACUAUGCCUGUGGACAAUGUAGAAUUAUCUGCUGAAUGAAUAUCUGAAAACUGUUUGGAGAGGGGAAAAGCAUUGAGAAGAAUUGGGCUCUUUGCUACUAUUACUCGCUAGAAUGGGAGACGUUUGGAAGCAGUUCCCUUAAGGAACCAAACAAGGCAGGAAAUUCUGGGAUAAAUCUGGUGUUCACAUUACACAACAAAAUGAUUGUACUUCAAGAAGGAAAGAAACAGCAACUCACGUGGGGCAUGGUUUUUUAGAACUGAUCAAUUUUCUGGGUUCUUCUCCUGGAGGUGUGCAAAGUCCAGAGAAGCCAGUGCUGGACAAGGAAAAGAAGCCACAAGAUUAGACUUGGCUCACAGCCCACAAAAUAAACUACUUAGAACUACCUUUACUUCUCCUCUUUUGGGAAUUUGGAAAAAAUCUCAGUUCUUCCACAAACCCAAUGGAAGCCAGCUACUGCAGAAGGGGUUCAGGCAGACCUUUCCUUAAUGUCCAUGUUGAACAGGACCCUAGGUGCUGUUACUUUCCCAUGGCAUCUCCUCUUCCACAGUAGAACAGAGGCAUGCCCAGGGAGCCCCCCACCAUCCUCCUGGACCCAAACACUAAGUCAGGUACUUUGCUCCCAAUCUUAGGAAGGGGCUUCAGAGACCAAAAUGUGGCCUUCUUUCAGACGUCAUGAACAUCAGCUAGACUCACAGACAUUUUGACAGACAUAUCAGGGUCAACAGAUCCAAAACAGUCUCAUCCCACUCCCCUGAAUCUAGUUCUUUCUUGCCUGUUUACUCUUCCCUAUAAAAGAAAAUUCCUUUAUGCCUGACCUUUGCUAUGCUUGCAGAUCUUAUGGCUGGAGUAUUCUCCCAAUUACAACACCUCCUCCCUUACUGCAGUGUUCCUGUGAAUAAAGUCAUUCCUUACCAAAAAAAAAAAAAAAA